CCUUAGGUGACUGAGAAUAUAAGUGUUGAAUUUUUAAUUCAAAUACGGCGUCGAUAGUUGCGUCUCUAAGGA
rnacentral:tRNA from 1 species